rnacentral:rRNA from 1 species
UACGUAGGGUGCAAGCGUUGUCCGGAAUUAUUGGGCGUAAAGAGCUCGUAGGCGGUUUGUCGCGUCUGCUGUGAAAACUCGGGGCUUAACUCCGGGCCUGCAGUGGGUACGGGCAGACUAGAGGCAGGUAGGGGAGAACGGAAUUCCCGGUGUAGCGGUGAAAUGCGCAGAUAUCGGGAGGAACACCGGUGGCGAAGGCGGUUCUCUGGGCCUGUACUGACGCUGAGGAGCGAAAGCGUGGGGAGCGAACAGG